rnacentral:rRNA from 1 species
UGGGGAAUAUUGGACAAUGGGCGAAAGCCUGAUCCAGCAAUGCCGCGUGUGUGAAGAAGGUUCUUCGGAUUAGUAAAGCACUUUCGACGGGGACGAUGAUGACGGUACCCGUAGAAGAAGCCCCGGCUACUUCGUGCCAG